AAACCUGACACCUGUAGUGACGUCGACCUUGACCACGUGACCGACGAGUGAGCGACCUGUGUUUACGUUGACGUAGCCCCGCCCCUCAUCCUCCGCGUGCUGCACGGUUGGCAGAAAGGGGGCUCGCGAGCAGUUCGGCUCCAACCGUUACCCGUGAACCGUUGUCAAGAUGGAGGAGCUCCAUGAUGUCCAGCUCACUGAGAUAAAGCCGCUGUUGACAGGACAGAAUGGGAGGAAUCUGCAGGACUUUGACUGUCAGGAGCAUGAUGUGGAGACGGCCCACGGCGUGCUGCACGUUACAAUGAGGGGUGUUGCUAAGGGCAACCGCCCCACCAUCCUCACCUACCAUGACAUAGGCCUCAACCAUAAGUCCUGUUUUAACAGCCUGUUCAACUACGAAGACAUGCAAGAAGUGACGCAGCACUUCUCAGUUCUCCAUGUUGAUGCUCCAGGACAACAGGAGAACGCUCCCAUGUUCCCAGCUGGGUACCAAUAUCCCACCAUGGAUGAACUGGCUGAGAUGUUACCAUCUGUCCUGACACAGCUCCAGGUGAAGAGUGUGAUUGGUAUUGGAGUCGGAGCUGGAGCCUACAUCCUCACCAAACUGGCUCUGAAUGAGCCUGGUUUGGUGGAGGGCUUGGUUCUGAUCAAUGUGGACCCCUGUGCCAAGGGCUGGAUGGAUUGGGCUGCCUCCAAGCUGAGCGGCUGGACCAGUAACCUGGUGGACAUCAUCAUGGGACACCACUUCAGCUCGGACGAGUUAACAGAGAACAAGGAGCUGAUCCAAACAUACAGACUGCACGUGUCUCAGGAUGUUCCGCAGGAGAACCUGGCCAUGUUCUACGGCUGCUACGACAGCCGGGCUGAGCUGCAGAUGGAGCGACCCGUCCCUGGUGUGAACGAAGGCGCUGUGGUGACGCUCAGGUGUCCUGCUCUGCUGGUGGUUGGAGACACGUCACCUGCUGUAGAUGCUGUGGUUGAGUGUAACUCCAGACUAAACCCCACCAAGACCACCCUGCUCAAGACCUUAAGUCCUCAGAGGUGCAGGGAGGCAGCAGCACCCACUUUCUAACCUCUUUUAUAGAAAUGGCAGACUGUGGGGGGCUUCCUCAGGUGGUGCAGCCUGGAAAACUAGCAGAGGCCUUUAAGUACUUUGUCCAGGGGAUGGGCUACAUUAGAAGCCAGAUUUGAGGUGCGUUGUUGAAGUGACUGAGCAGCGUCAGUUUAGUUCAAGUAGAAACAGAGAAGUGGGUCGGGGCCUCGACAGAGAGCGCUCAACGGUCCCAUUUGACCCCUGGCAGCGCAGCCACUGCUCCAUAACCUCCUCUGUCCUCUGCUCCGUCUCCUUCAGUCCCUCAUGUUGUAACAAAGCACCCGAGCAGCGAGUCAGGUAUCCAUCUGAAGCCUUUGCCGUUUGCUGCGUCUUGUGUCCUUGUCUUUGUUCACUUGCAUGUUGCUGCUCAGCGUGUCCUAAUGAUUUUCUUUCCUCCGCAGUGACAGUGAGCAGGUUCUGCAUGUGGACUCACCUCUUCAUGUCACCUCCCAGUAACAUGAAGGUGACGAGCAGAGACCAAUGCAACAGCACAGAAGCCUGAGCAUUUCCUCAUAUUUGGCUUCAUGCUGCCUCUCAUGUCGCUAGAUUGGCUUGUGUCUCUUUAGGGAUCAUUCUCCCAUUUUUAAUGAGUUGAACCCUGACCCACAGAAUGUCAGUAGAUGUGAGGUUUGAACCUCCAGAACCUUGAACCUGGGGUCAUUAUGGUGCUGGUAGACCCAGCAGUGAACAAAAGCUCAACCGAGUUUUCUCUUUGCCUGGAGCAGCAGUCACCAACUGCAUGUCCAGUUCUUUGAAAGAAAAAAUGAAAGUUCAGCAUUUGAGCUUUGGUCCAGGGACCUGGUUACACUGAAGCUUCAAACUCUCCAUCAUCAGAUCUGAAUUUGCUCCGUAUGCAUAAUUUGGAUCAGCACUGACAGGAAGCCGCUCACUCUGGCAUCUGGUACUAACACACCUUGGUGUCUCUGCCCCCAGUGCCCACGGUCGGUAUGACCCGGUUGGUUCGUUCCAGAACCCACUCGGCCUCCAGCGUGGGCUCCAUAGAUGGUAUCCGGAGUCGUGGUACCGGUAGCGCGCUGCCCGAAGCCAACUGCACCAGCGCCGAAUAUACAGCAACAC